GGGAGGUAAGGAGCAGAGAUGGGAGAGAGGACAAGCUGGCAGAGACUCUUUCUCUAUGAAAAGCCUUGCCUGAGUCACUCCUUCCCUCACACUUGCAUGUUACUCCAUCCAAACGAAACCAGCCCCUUUUGUGACUUCACAAAAUCUAUACUCACACUCCCUGUCACUGAACUCCAGGUCCAGAAAACUAUGCCCCCUGUGUUUGGCUUUAGGCCAAUGUCGUGAGAUAUUCCACACAGACAUGUGCUGUAUCUUCUUUUAAAUGUUGUGACUUUUGACCCCACA
rnacentral:lncRNA from 1 species